AGAACGAACGCUGGCGGCAUGCCUAACACAUGCAAGUCGAACGAGACCUUCGGGUCUAGUGGCGCACGGGUGCGUAACGCGUGGGAAUCUGCCCUUGGGUUCGGGAUAACAGUUGGAAACGACUGCUAAUACCGGAUGAUGACUUCGGUCCAAAGAUUUAUCGCCCAGGGAUGAGCCCGCGUAGGAUUAGCUAGUUGGUGAGGUAAAAGCUCACCAAGGCGACGAUCCUUAGCUGGUCUGAGAGGAUGAUCAGCCACGACUGGGACUGAGACACGG
rnacentral:rRNA from 1 species